UUCUUGAUCCUUCUGCGCCCGUAGGUCUGGGGGCUACAGCGCUCACACCAUUGAGUAGUUAAUUCCUUCCCUUUGGUGGUGGAUUUAGCUUCAGGGAAACAACUCAGGAAUUGUGCAUCAGAUACCAUCACCUCGGUCCUUCGGAGAGGAGGGUCAGCGCAGUGUGGGGGAGGGGCCUGUCCCCAGAAGGCCCAUGGGGUCCUGCUUCCAGGAGUUUCUGGAGCCCAAGUGCCUGAGGAGCUACACAUUGGACAGGUGCCCGUGGGUCUCCAGGAAGAUGGUACAAGGCCUGAUGCACAGUUGCCACUCAGGAAGGGUGGGCGGUUUCUGACUGAAAUAGUGUACCUUGUGACCCAGGGCAGUGAGAACUGUCCUUUUUCUCGACUUUUCUAAAUUAAAUGGAAGCUCGCUCUGGUGCCUGGA